CCUACGGGCGGCUGCAGUGAGGAAUAUUGGUCAAUGGCCGUAAGGCUGAACCAGCCAAGUCGCGUGAAGGAAGCAGGAUCUAUGGUUUGUAAACUUCUUUUAUAGGGGAAUAAAGUUAUCCACGUGUGGCUAUUUGCAUGUACUCUCUGAAUAAGCAUCGGCUAACUCCGUGCCAGCAGCCUCGGUAAUACGGAGGAUGCGAGCGUUAUCCGGAUUUAUUGGGGUUAAAGGGUGCGUAGGUUGUUUUUUAAGUCAGCGGUGAAAGUUUGUGGCUCAACCAUAAAAUUGCCGUUGAUACUGGAAGACUUGAGUGUGUUUGAGGUAGGCGGAAUGCGUGGUGUAGCGGUGAAAUGCAUAGAUAUCACGCAGAACUCCGAUUGCGAAGGCAGCUUACUAAGCCAUAACUGACACUGAAGCACGAAAGCGGGGGGAUCAAACAGGAUUAGAUACCCUUGUAGUC
rnacentral:rRNA from 1 species